AGCUGAAGAGAGAAGCUGCAGGAGAGUUACAUCAGCCUGGAGAGAUGGGCAGGGACUCAGUCCCUCCUCUUCCACUCCCCCAGGCAGAGGUAAUGGAGCUGAGGCUUCCUGGGGAGCAGACUUCAGGACAGAGGAGAGAGUGAGUCAUCUGAGGAGAAUUUUAUUCCCAAGCUGGGUUGGAGCUGUGUAAUCAGCCACAAGAUCCAGAAGAGAUGAAAGACCUCAGUUCAUGUUGGGUCAGCUUGUGAGGACCCUGAGGGGCUGUAUUUUAGGUUGGUUUUGGCUCAGCAGUGCAGGCAGACAACAUAUGUGGGACCAUCUGCCAGCUCAGAAUUAUCCCAGACCACACUACCUGUUCAUUUCUGGAGUGAAGAUGCAUACCUGGAUGCUGCAAUUUCCCCCUCCUCAGCAGGUAGAGGCACAGCAACAGGAGGAGCAGACUCAGCUGAGCUGCUUGCCUCCGCACCCUCUACCUCAGCCUUCUCUGAAGUGCCUUCUGGGGAAGGAGACCUGGCUCUAGGGGAAACUUGAGGGGUGUGGAGCAUAAGCUCAGCUUAUUCCCUUCCUUCCCCAGAAUUUCCUCUGGCACUAGAAGGCUCAGCAUGGGAAGUGAAAUGGGGGUUGUGGAGACUGUCAUGCUGGUGCUGCUGCUUGUUGCCAUGGUGAUGGGGGGGGUUAUGGGUAGUGUUCUUGGAGGGGAUGCAGUCUUAGGCACAGGCAGUGGAACUGGCACUGCUCCCCUCUCCUUGCUGCUUCUGGAAGCCUCAUCCCUGGUACUUGUAGGAAAGAGACUGUGUCUCAGUUUGAGAGGUGGGGGAUUAUACCUUUCCCUCUAUCCCCUCUUCCACCGCUCCCUGAAGGCUUGCCAGCUUCCUUUCAACCAAGCUUCAUGGUGUGUUUCAUAGUGUCUUCUUUUUAUACAAAUAUAUAAAUGUAUCUGCAUUCCUAUAUAAAUUCUAUAAGGUAUGUAAUAUGCCACAAGGUAUAAAUGUAUAGAAAUAAAAUAAAAAUGUAUCUGCAUUCCUAUAUAAAUUCUAUAGUAUCACAUCCAAUAAAAAUUAUACAAUUGAAAAGAAUAAAUCAAUUUAUAUAAUAAUAAAAUAAAAGGGUCUAGAAGAAAGAAAAGGUAUUGUGGAACCCCACUUGGUAGGCUAGCAAGUAGGAAAUCAUUCAAAUCAAUGCUAGUAGUAGCCUUCAUUGUCUAAUGCUCCUGAGCUCCUGGAAGAUGCAGCUCAGUAACUAGCAGACCCCAAGGCAGAAAGCAGGCCAGUUCAAACAAUGCUGCCUUUUAUGCUGUUUUUCCAUCCCUCCCCCAGAGCACUGGGAUUGGAAGGGACCUCAGGGAAGGAUCACAGUCACUAGCCAGCUACCCAGUCAAUAUGAGAGCAGUCCUUCCCCUAUCCUCCCCUUACCUUUCCUUACUUUCUGUUUCCCUGCAGGCAAGUCCAUCUUAAGCUUUGAAACUUUUCAAAACUUUUGAAACAUUUAAACUGUCCUCAUUUUGUUUCAAGGCUGUUUUGAAGUCCUUUGUUUCAUUUCAAUUUUACUGUUUCAAGCUCAAAACAAGUUGAAACAGUGUCAAAAUGAAACAGCUGGCAAAAAUUUUCACAGGCCUAACAGAUAUAAGCCCUAAUAUAUAUAUUUGGCACUUGGCUUUGGGUUUUUUUAUCAUGGGAGCUCCCCCUGCUCCCUUCACUCACCAGGAUGCAGGUCCAACUGUAGCUGUCCCACCAGCUAAUUUGUAGUGUGGAGGAGCUCUGAUAUCCCAGUGCUCCUCACUCCCAAGCUACAGCCCCUGCCUCCCCCCUACUUGCUCCCUCCCAGCAGCAGCUGCCCCCCUACACCAGGAUGUGGGUUUAACUGUGGCUGUGUCCCCCGCACCACUGCUUUGUGGUACUGAGCAGUCCUGACAUGCCAGUGCCCUGCCCCUGCCCAUGCCAUUGCCCCUCACUCCCAAGCCACAGCCCCACCAACCCUGCUAAUACCCUGCAGCCAUGAGUUUUCUGCCCACCCUAUGUUGCCCAAGAUGCUCACCUUCACAUCCAUGCCCUGCUUCUUGCCAGCUCUUCUGGUUCUCCCUACAUCCUCUCCCCCUCAGCCCUGGCAGUAUCAUCCUCACUCCCCUGCCUGAUCCCUGCCCACCCUCCUGGUUCUCCCUGAAGCCCCCUUCCCCCCCACCCUCACAGCAUGAUUAGCACCCAACCCACACACCCUCCAGCCUUGCAGGUGCCCCUCAUUCCUAACCCACAGCUCCCUGCCUUCCCCAGUCCUGCCAAAGGGGACCCCAAGCUGCCCCACACCCCCAGGACCCAGCCCCACCAAAUCCCAGUCCCUCAGGUCUGACUUACCCCAAAAGCUUCAGGAGGAAAAGUAAAUCUAAGCCAGCCCUGGCUGGCCUCAGAUUCUCAGGUCCUGCCCCUGCCCCUGCCCCUGCCCGCAUCUCCUUUCCGUCCUGACAGGGCUUAGGGUUUUGUGUCCUUUUUGCAAGCAGUAAAUUGCAGGCUGGAACUCUGCCAGCCUGUGGAGAGCUGUUUGCAAAAGGGGAAACCUGUGGUUUCCUGCUUCAAAGGA